rnacentral:rRNA from 1 species
AUUGAACGCUGGCGGCAUGCUUUACACAUGCAAGUCGAACGGCAGCGCGGGGCAACCUGGCGGCGAGUGGCGAACGGGUGAGUAAUACAUCGGAACGUACCCAGAAGUGGGGGAUAACGUAGCGAAAGUUACGCUAAUACCGCAUACGUUCUACGGAAGAAAGUGGGGGAUCUUCGGACCUCAUGCUUUUGGAGCGGCCGAUGUCUGAUUAGCUAGUUGGUAGGGUAAAGGCCUACCAAGGCGACGAUCAGUAGCUGGUCUGAGAGGACGACCAGCCACACUGGGACUGAGACACGGCCCAGACUCCUACGGGAGGCAGCAGUGGGGAAUUUUGGACAAUGGGCGCAAGCCUGAUCCAGCAAUGCCGCGUGAGUGAAGAAGGCCUUCGGGUUGUAAAGCUCUUUUGUCAGGGAAGAAACGGCUGAGGUUAAUACCUUCGGCUAAUGACGGUACCUGAAGAAUAAGCACCGGCUAACUACGUGCCAGCCGCCGCGGUAA